AGCAAUGUCGCAAGUGAGGUAAUCUUCACACAACCCAUGUAAUACAUAAGGGAAAGAGAUACAUAGUUGGCUUACAAUCGCCACUUCACACAAUACAUGAAUAAAGCAUUACAUUCAUCCAAAUACACUCAAGGUCCGACUACGCAACCAAAAUAAAAGAAGACUACCCCAAAAGCGACACAGAUCCCCGAUCGACCCCAACUGGGCUCCACUACUAAUCAACUAGAACGAAGCAACACAAAGGACAAGAUCUUCAUCGAGCUCCUUCUUGAGCUUGGUUGCAUCAUCUGCACGGUAUCAUCGGCACCUGCAAACUGGUUUGGGAAGUAUCUGUGAGUGACGGGGACUCAGCAAUCUCACAGCCACGCGAUCAAGACUAUUUAAGCUUAUGGGUAAGGUAAAGGUAUGAGGUGGAGCUGCAGCAAGCGACUAGCUUAUAUGGUGGCUAACCUAUUCACAAAAGAGAGCGAGAAGAGAAGGCAAAAGCACGGUAGAACAACUAUGAUCAAGAAGUGAUCCUAGAACAACCUACGUCAAGCAUUACUCCAACACCGUGUUCACUUUCCGGACCCCGCCGAGAAGAGACCAUCACGGUUACACACGCGGUUGAUGUAUUUUAAUUAAGGUCAACUUCAGAUUUUCUACAACCGGACAUUAACAAAUUCCCAUCUUCCCAUAACUGCGGGAACGGCUUUCGAAAGUUCAUAACCGUGCAGGGGUGUACCAACUUAGCCCAUCACAAGCUCUCACGGUCAACGAAGGAUGUUCCUUCUAGCGGGAAGACCCGAUCAGGCUCGGAAUCCCGGUUACAAGACAUUUCAACAAUGGUAAAACAAGACCAGCAAAGCCACCCGAAUGUGCCGACAAAUCCCGAUAGGAGCUGCACAUAUCUCUUUGUCAGGGCACACCGGAUUGUCCAAGGUUCCGGUAGGCCAGCCCAGAGUUGCCCUUGGUGGCCACCGGCAGCUGACGGGUUGGACCAACACUCAGAGGAACACUGGCCUUGGGGGCGGGGUUAAAUAAAGAUGACCCUUGAGCCGGCCGACUCAAGGGAAAGAAAAAGGCUAGGUGGCAAAUGGUAAAACCAAUGUUGGGCCUUGCUGGGGGAGUUUUAUUCAAGGCGAACUGUCAAGGGGUUCCCAUUAUAACCCAACCGCGUAAGGAACGCAAAAUCCGGGAACAUAACACCGAUAUGACGAAAACUAGGGCGGCAAGAGUGAAACAAAACACCAGGCAUAAGCCCGAGCCUUCCACCCUUUACCAAGUAUAUAGAUGCAUUAAUUAAAUAAGAGAUAUUGUGAUAUCCCAACAAGUAAACAUGUUCCAACAAGGAACAACAUCUCCAUAUUCCAACAAGGAACAAACUUCAAUCUUCACCUGCAACUAACAACGCUAUAAGAGGGGCUAAGCAAAGCGGUAACAUAGACAAACAACCUUUUGCUAGGACAAGGUGGUUAGAGGCUUGGUUUAUCAAUAUGGGAGGCAUGAUAAGCAAGUGGUAGGUAUCGCAGCACAGCCAUAGCAAAAGAGCGAGCAACUAGCAAGCAAAGAUAGAAGUGAUUUCGAGGGUAUGGUCAUCUUGCCUGAGAUCCCGCUAGGAAGAAGAACGAGUCCAUGAAGAAGACAAACGGACUUAGUCGAACGGAUCCUCACAAACACGACGUUAUCGGAAUUAACCCGAAGAAGCAACACCGGAAAGAAGCAAACAACAUAGUAAACAACCAUCACAUAACAUUGCAUGAUGCACAAUCAAGUAUGAUGCAUGUCCGGUUUAAAAAUGCAUGGCAUGGCAAGGGG
rnacentral:lncRNA from 1 species